GACGAACGCUGGCGGCGUGCUUAACACAUGCAAGUCGAGCGGUAAGGCCCUUUCGGGGGUACACGAGCGGCGAACGGGUGAGUAACACGUGGGUGACCUGCCCUCAGCUCUGGGAUAAGCCUGGGAAACCGGGUCUAAUACCGGAUAUGACUCCAUGACGCAUGUUGUGGGGUGGAAAGCCUUGUGCGGCUGAGGAUGGGGCCCGCGGCCUAUCAGCUUGUUGGUGGGGUGANGGCCUACCAAGGCGACGACGGGUAGCCGGCCUGAGAGGGCGACCGGCCACACUGGGACUGAGACACCGGCCCAGACUCCUACGGGAGGCAGCAGUGGGGAAUCUUGCGCAAUGGGCGAAAGCCUGACGCAGCGACGCCGCGUGAGGGAUGACGGCC
rnacentral:rRNA from 1 species